UGGGGAAUCUUGCACAAUGCGCGAAAGCGUGAUGCAGCAACGCCGCGUGGGGGAAGAAGGCCUUCGGGUUGUAAACCCCUUUCAGUUGGGACGAAGCUUCGGCGGUGAAUAGCCGCCUGGAGUGACGGUACCUUCACAAGAAGCCCCGGCUAACUACGUGCCAGCAGCCGCGGUAAUACGUAGGGGGCUAGCGUUGUCCGGAAUCAUUGGGCGUAAAGAGCGUGUAGGCGGCCCGGUAAGUCCGCUGUGAAAGUCGGGGGCUCAACCCUCGAAUGCCGGUGGAUACUGUCGGGCUAGAGUGCGGAAGAGGCGAGUGGAAUUCCUGGUGUAGCGGUGAAAUGCGCAGAUAUCAGGAGGAACACCAAUUGCGAAGGCAGCUCGCUGGGACGUUACUGACGCUGAGACGCGAAAGCGUGGGGAGCAAACAGGAUUAGAUACCCUGGUAGUCCACGCUGUAAACGAUGGGCACUAGGUGUGGGGGUGGUCGACUCCCUCCGUGCCGAAG
rnacentral:rRNA from 1 species